AAACAACAAUUCAAUAGAAUUCAAAAAACUUACUUGUUUUUGUGAUUGAAAUUGGCUUAGAAUGGCUUGAAAUUGCUCAAAAUCGCAUCUAGGAGAAUAAAAAACGCAACAAUGGAGUUUUGGAAACUCGUAUGUCUAUUUUGUUCUUAUAACAAAUUUUCGGCAGUUAACUGCCGAGGUUUUUCUCGAUAGUUAAUUGCAGCCGAUUUUUGCAUUCCUUAACAGUUAACUGCCGAGGGGACAAAAUCGUAUUUUACUAAUGUACGUCAGUCUUAUAAAAUGUGUCAACAACAAUUUUGAAUGUAACCAAACCCAUUUACUCUUGACCUGGUCCGAGCAAAAUCAACUUCACUUAAUAGCCACUAUAUGUCCCUAUCCCCAUGUGAAAUAAUUAAUGUCCCUUCACAUGAAUGCCAUGUAACUUGUAUAUAGUUCUAAAUUGUGGUAAACAAGUGCAAUACAACUGUGACUCGCAACUGUGGCCGUGAUAUGAAAGUUUUAGGGGUGAUCUUUACAAAGAUAUUCCAUACUAUAAAGUAUAAACUAGACGACCACAAUAAAAAUCAAAUCUUGUUUUGCUAAGUGUGUUGGUUACAUAAAUUAAAUUUCAUCGUAAUAUUCUUUGAUAAAUCAUAUUUUAAUCUAAUUCAUCAAUCUUUAAAUCUUUUUCAAUAAUUUUUCUUAUAGUUUUUCUCGUUUUUCAUCUACUUCUAGUGAUUUAACUAUCCUCUUUUUUAUCAAAUCUCCUUGCUAGAGAAUCUACUUCCAUCAUGAUUAGAUCAGUUAAGCUUAUUUUUCACCAUCUUUUCUAUAUUAGCUCCAACUCUAAUGUUGAUAAUGCUAAAUAAAAUCUCAGUACAUAAAUUAUUAACUAGUAGUAUUACAAUAUUAACGUUCAAACCCAUUCAAUGAACCUCGAAAGCAUGGUUUACACUGUGAGUUCAACAUUUACAGGUCCUUGGAAGAAUUCAACAUUUACCAAGAGCAUUUUGUGAGUUCCACACUAAUGUAACUCAAACUCUAGAGUUUGCCAUUGGUGGCAGAACAAAACAGUGUGUUUUCAAAAAAAUUCUCUCCGUGAUUUUUUAUUUUUGGUUAAGUAGCAUAAUUUUUAGUUGUUGUAUUAUGAUUUCUUUACAGACCAAGAAUAUCAAUAAAUAUUAUUAUUUUUUAUAAAACUAGCAAAUUUUUUUCUAUAACCCUUUCUAAUCGUAUUUUUAUCUAUUUCUCUAUCUAUAAUAAGUAAUUUAAAAUAUUAUUGGUAAAAUGACAAUUAAUAUUGCAUUGAAAUUUGAUAACUAUAAAUAAAUAAAAAUGAAACUUUUUGUAAAUGUGACAAACAAUUAACAAUAAAUUGAGAAAAUAAUCUAACAAUGGUCGUACUUUUGCCAACAUAGUAAUAUAAUAAUGCACCUCUUUAAUAUAUAGAGCCUAGACCUCUGUUCCUUUGCCUUGUUAAGGAACCUCUUCUUCAAGCUUGAAGCAUGUUCAACACAACGAUUUUGUUGUGUUGAAGUUGAAGUGGUUGAAAAACAAUGAUCCAUGUUAUGUGGUGGGUGUCCUUAAUUAAUUUAUUUUUUGUUGAAGUGGGUCUAAGAGACUAUGAAGGUAGUUAAAACGGGUAGGUAGACACUAGACAAGCUUAAAUCAGGGACAUAAAAUUGGAAGUUCAAAGUAUUGGUGAGGGUGAGGACGUGUAUGUGUUGUGUGAUAAGAGGAAUUGUGUGACUAUGAUAUGAGAUGUCAUCACUCAUCAAUGUGAGGAGUAAAUUGUUUAUGGACCAAUGAACUUCUUGUCCUAUUACUAGUACGAAACAACUUACAAUAUGGC
rnacentral:lncRNA from 1 species